GACGAACGCUGGCGGCGUGCCUAAUACAUGCAAGUUGAGCGCUGAAGGUUGGUACUUGUACCAACUGGAUGAGCAGCGAACGGGUGAGUAACGCGUGGGGAAUCUGCCUUUGAGCGGGGGACAACAUUUGGAAACGAAUGCUAAUACCGCAUAAAAACUUUAAACACAAGUUUGAAGGUUGAAAGAUGCAAUUGCAUCACUCAAAGAUGAUCCCGCGUUGUAUUAGCUAGUUGGUGAGGUAAAGGCUCACCAAGGCGAUGAUACAUAGCCGACCUGAGAGGGUGAUCGGCCACAUUGGGACUGAGACACGGCCCAAACUCCUACGGGAGGCAGCCGUAGGGAAUCUUCGGCAAUAGACGAAAGUCUGACCGAGCAACGCCGCGUGAGUGAAGAAGGUUUUCGGAUCGUAAAACUCUGUUGGUAGAGAAGAACGUUGGUGAGAGUGGAAAGCUCAUCAAGUGACGGUAACUACCCAGAAAGGGACGGCUAACUACGUG
rnacentral:rRNA from 1 species